rnacentral:lncRNA from 1 species
CAAUGUUCUUGUAUUAGAAGGGCUCAAUGAAUGGUAGCAAUGCUCCACAGAGACCAGGAACUAGAGGAAGCCACCCCAGCCACUGGUCUCGUGAAGCAUACAGGACAACAUAGUGUCACAAGGAGCCCAUAACUGUGCCUACCCCUAAGACCGCUGGAGCAGCUCUGCCACUUCCGCAACUUCAGGCCCCCUGCCCCUGCCAGUACAGCUCCUACAAACACCUUUGCUGCAUGAGGACCAGUUACCUGCAGAGUGACACUUACCAGGACAAAAAUAACAUGAGGAAAUGACUUCUUUCCUCUUGCCUUUUUACCUCCUGUCAGUACCUCCUACUGGAAGAUCCUAACGGAAACCCAACAGACAAAAAAAUUUUGGUGAAUGUAAAGGAAAUUUUUCCUCUACCAUUGAUAAUUCUCUUCUGUAAUUCAGUACCAAGCAUGUUGUACAAUCACAGUGGAAGCCAUAUCUGCCUAUACGCCUUUCCUUGUUCUUUUCCCGCUACCCAUCCCUGAAAUAAAUCCACACCAAAAUAGACUGACUAAACAUGCAAAUGUCAUUCAACCAAAAGCCACA